GAUGAACGCUGACAGAAUGCUUAACACAUGCAAGUCUUUGGCGAAGCUGUGCUUGCACCGCCUAGCCAAGGCGGACGGGUGAGUAACGCGUAAGGAACUUGCCCUGCAGUCAGGGAUAACAGACGGAAACGACUGAUAAGACCUGGUAAAGUCAGGCGGACUCAUGUCCAGCCUGAUGAAAAGAGAUGCUGCAGGAGAGCCUUGCGUCCUAUUAGCUUGUUGGUGGGGUAACGGCCCACCAAGGCGAUGAUAGGUAGCCGGCCUGAGAGGGUGGACGGCCACAAGGGGACUGAGAUACGGCCCUUACUCCUACGGGAGGCAGCAGUGGGGAAUAUUGGACAAUGGGGCAACCCUGAUCCAGCAAUUCUGUGUGCACGAUGAAGGUUUUCGGAUUGGAAAGUGCUUUCAGCAGGGAAGAAAAAAAAUGACGGUACCUGCAGAAGAAGCGACGGCUAAAUACGUG
rnacentral:rRNA from 1 species